AUUGAACGCUGGCGGCAGGCUUAACACAUGCAAGUCGAGCGGGGGAAGGUAGCUUGCUACCGGACCUAGCGGCGGACGGGUGAGUAAUGCUUAGGAAUCUGCCUAUUAGUGGGGGACAACAUCUCGAAAGGGAUGCUAAUACCGCAUACGUCCUACGGGAGAAAGCAGGGGAUCUUCGGACCUUGCGCUAAUAGAUGAGCCUAAGUCGGAUUAGCUAGUUGGUGGGGCAAAGGCCUACCAAGGCGACGAUCUGUAGCGGGUCUGAGAGGAUGAUCCGCCACACUGGGACUGAGACACGGCCCAGACUCCUACGGGAGGCAGCAGUGGGGAAUAUUGGACAAUGGGGGGAACCCUGAUCCAGCCAUGCCGCGUGUGUGAAGAAGGCCUUAUGGUUGUAAGGCACUUUAAGCGAGGAGGAGGCUCUUUUGGUUAAUACCCAAGAUGAGUGGACGUUACUCGCAGAAUAAGCACCGGCUAACUCUGUGCCAGCCGCCGCGGUAA
rnacentral:rRNA from 1 species